rnacentral:rRNA from 1 species
UGGGGGAUAUUGCACAAUGGGGGAAACCCUGAUGCAGCAACGCCGCGUGAAGGAUGAAGGUCUUCGGAUUGUAAACUUCUGUCUUUGGGGAAGAAAAAAAUGACGGUACCCAAGGAGGAAGCCACGGCUAACUACGUGCCAGCAGCCGCGGUAAUACGUAGGUGGCAAGCGUUGUCCGGAUUUACUGGGUGUAAAGGGCGUGUAGGCGGGAACAUAAGUCAGAUGUGAAAUCUGGGGGCUCAACCCCCAAACUGCAUUUGAAACUAUGUUUCUUGAGUGUCGGAGAGGUAAGUGGAAUUCCUAGUGUAGCGGUGAAAUGCGUAGAUAUUAGGAGGAACACCAGUGGCGAAGGCGACUUACUGGACGAUAACUGACGCUGAGGCGCGAAAGCGUGGGGAGCAAACA